rnacentral:rRNA from 1 species
AGUCGAGGGGUAUUGGUUUUCGGACCAGAGACCGGCGCACGGGUGCGUAACGCGUAUGCAAUCUACCUUUUACAGAGGGAUAGCCCAGAGAAAUUUGGAUUAAUACCUCAUAGUAUUAUUGAAUGGCAUCAUUUAAUAAUUAAAGUCACAACGGUAAAAGAUGAGCAUGCGUCCCAUUAGCUUGUUGGUAAGGUAACGGCUUACCAAGGCAACGAUGGGUAGGGGUCCUGAGAGGGAGGUCCCCCACACUGGUACUGAGACACGGACCAGACUCCUACGGGAGGCAGCAGUGAGGAAUAUUGGUCAAUGGGCGCAAGCCUGAACCAGCCAUGCCGCGUGCAGGAUGACGGUCCUAUGGAUUGUAAACUGCUUUUGUACAGGAAGAAACAUCUCUACGUGUAGAGACUUGACGGUACUGUAAGAAUAAGGAUCGGCUAACUCCGUGCCAGCAGCCGCGGUAAUACGGAGGAUCCAAGCGUUAUCCGGAAUCAUUGGGUUUAAAGGGUCCGUAGGCGGUUUUGUAAGUCAGUGGUGAAAGCCCAUCGCUCA